AUGGAUGUGCGCUCCGCAUUCCUCAAUGGAGAUCUCCAGGAAGAAGUGUAUGUUCAGCAGCCCGCAGGAUUUGUCGACAGCAACAACACUCACUGCAUGCUCAGGUUGCAGAAAGCUCUGUAUGGUCUUCGUCAGGCUCCUCGCGCAUGGAAUGCAAAGCUGGACGCCACGCUUCAUGCACUUGGUUUCAAGCGCUGCCAGCUGGAUCAUGCGUUAUACAGGCGGGAAGACAAAGCUGGGUUCUUGCUGGUUGGGGUGUAUGUGGAUGAUCUGAUCAUCACGGGCACAGAGGCAGAAGCCAUUGAACACUUCAAGAAACAGAUGCAGGAGCUCUUCCAGAUGACUGAUCUGGGUCUUCUCAGCUAUUACCUGGGAAUUGAGGUGAAGCAAGAGGAUGAUGGGAUCACGGUGUGUCAGUCAAGCUAUGCCGCAAAGAUUCUGGAGGACGCAGGUAUGAGUGACUGCAACUCUUGCAACACACCGAUGGAGAAUCGCCUGAAACUGAAGAAGAACACUGGUGAGGCAGUGGACUCGACAGAGUACCGCAGUCUGAUUGGCAGCCUGAGAUACUUGGUAAACACCAGGCCUGACAUUUCAUAUGCCGUAGGGAUUCUGAGCAGGUUCAUGGAAUCACCUGGCAAGGAGCACUGGAUUGCAGCGAAGCAACUCCUGCGCUACAUCAGAGGUACACUUGGCCUUGGGUGUUUCUUCAGAAAAGGAGAGAAAGAUAUGCUGACAGGCUACAGUGAUAGUGAUCACGCUGGUGAUCUCAAUGAUCGCAAGAGUACCACUUGA
rnacentral:rRNA from 1 species